GGGGCCGUAGCUCAGCUGGUUAGAGCGCCGCACUGUCACUGCGGAGGUCGUGGGUUCGAUCCCCAUCGGUCCCG
rnacentral:tRNA from 1 species